rnacentral:rRNA from 1 species
AUUGAGAAGGUUAUUUUUGUUGGAUAAUUAUUUUUUUAGUGAAAAAAGAAAUUUAGGGUUUUAUUAUUUGAAAAGAAAAAAUUUUUUUUAUUAUAGCUUAUUAGUAUUGUGAAAGAAUUAAUUUAAAUUAUUUAAAGAAAAAUUUGAUUUUUGUACCUUGUGUAUCAGGGUUUAUUAAAAAUGUGUUAUAUAUUUGAUUUUCCCGAAUUUAGAAGAGCUAAUUAAAUAUAAAUUUUUUUGUGACAUAAAAAUUUAAAAUAUAUGAUUAGUAAUGAAAUGUUAUUCGUUUCUUAAUAUAUCUGGUUUUUCAAGAAAUAAAUUUAAUUUAUUCUUUAUUAAUUAAUUAAUUUUUUUAUAAUUAAUUUUUAUUUUAGGAUAAUAUUUUUAGGGAUGAGCUUGAAAAUAAAUUUUUAUAAGUUAGGUUAUGUAAAUUGGAAUUUAUAGGAUUGGAAAUUUUUAUUUUUAGAAGGGUGUUAUAACUGAUUCUGGUUUAGAAAUUAUUUAUAUAAUUAUUUUAAAUUAUUUAUUGAAAUGAAUUUUAAAAUAUUUUAGGAUUAGUAAUUAUGAUGAAAUUAGUAUAAUUUUAUUUAUAUUUAAAUAUAAAUUUAUAUGUUAAGCAAAGGAAUUCGGCAAAUAAAAUUUUUACCUGUUUAUUAAAAACAUGGCCUUUUGAGAAUAAUUUAAGGUCUGACCUGCCCACUGAUUUUUAAAUGGCUGCGGUAUCUUGACCGUGCAAAGGUAGCAUAAUCAUUAGUUUUUUAAUUGAAAGCUGGAAUGAAUGGUUUGAUAAGAAAAUAGCUGUCUCUGUUUAAGUUUAUUAGAAUUUUAUUUUUAAGUAAAAAAGCUUAAAUAAUAUUAAAAGACGAUAAGACCCUAUAGAGUUUUAUAAUUAAAGGUUAUUCAGGUUUUAGAAUUAUUAUUCUGGGUGCUGGGCGGUUAUUUGGUUGGGGAGAUUGAAAAAUUAAUUUAACUUUUUCUAUAUUUAAACAUAAAUUAAUGAAUAAUUGAUCCAUUAUUUUUGAUUGUAAGAUAAAAUUACCUUAGGGAUAACAGCGUAAUCUUUCUAGAGAGUUCUAAUCGAAAGAAGGGUUUGCGACCUCGAUGUUGGAUUAAAAUUAAUUUUUGGUGUAGAAGCUAGGAAUUUUAGGUCUGUUCGACCUUUAAAAUUUUACAUGAUCUGAGUUUAAACCGGCGUGAGCCAGGUUGGUUUCUAUCUUUAAUUUAUUAAAAUAUUUUAGUACGAAAGGACCAAAUAUUUAAUAAUUUAUUUUUUUAUUGAAUAUUAAU